UGAGGCCAGCAGAGAUCAUUUUUGUUCCAGGGAUGUAUUACUUGGGAUUCUCCAGAUACUUUGUCAGCAUCUCCUCUGCCCAGGUGAUGUCUUUGUUCUUGUUGGCAUCUGUGUAAGAGAAUCCCAGCCUGACCUGUCUUUUGCCCAAACAGACCGUGGAGAUUUGGCCCGCUCUUGUGCUUAUCUCCCUUUUUCCACAGUAUGUCACUGGGCACACUUUAAAAAAAAAUUUUUUUUUAUUAUAGUUGAUUUAUCAUGUUCUGUCAAUUUCUACUGUACAGCAAAGUGACCCAGUCAUAUAUAUAUAUAUUCUUUUUCUCACAUUAUCCUCCAUCGUGUUUUAUCACUAGUGAAUAGAUACAUAGUUCCUUGUGCUAUACAGUAGAAUUCCAUUGCCCAUCUGCUCCAAAUGCAACAGUUUUCAUCUAACACCAGACACCCAAUCCAUUCCACUCACUUCCCCUCCCUCCUGGCAAACACAAGUCUGUCCUCCGUGUCCAUGAUCUUUUCUGUUUUGUAGACAGAUCAUUUGUGCCAUAUUUUAGAUUCCACAUGUAAGUGAUGUAUGGAGUUUGAAUUUCUCUUUCUGACUACUCAGUAUGAGAAUCUCUAGUUCCAUCCAUGUUGCUGCAAAUGGCAUUAUUUUGUUCUUUUUUAUGGCUGAGUAGUAUUCCAUUUUAUAUAUGUACCAUAUCUUCCUAAGACAUUCAUCUGUCACUGGGCAUUUAGGUUGUUUCCAUGUCUUGGCUGUUGUGAAUAGUGCUGCAGUGAACAUACAGGUGCAUGUGUCUUUUUCAGGGAAAAAACUUGUCUGGAUAUCUGCCCAGGAGUGGGAUCGCUGGGUCAUACGGUAGUUCUGUAUUUAGUUUUCUGAGGUAUUUCAAUACUGUUUUCCAUAGUGGUUGUACCAAUUUAUUAUUUAUUUAUUUGUUUUUUGAUAGUGAAUUUUUAUCUAUUUAUUUUUAUAUUACUCAAUGAAUUUAUGACAUUUAUAGUUGUACCAUGAUCAUCACAACCUAAUUUUAUAUUCCAUUCCAAACCUCCAGCCUCCCCCCCACCCCCCAACCUCUCUCCUUUGGAAACCAUAAGUUUUUCAAAGUCUGUAAGUCAGUAUCUAUUCUGCACAGAAAUUCAUUUUGACCUUUUUUCAGAUUCCGCAUGUAAGUGAUAGCAUUUGAUGCUGGUGUCUCAUUGUCUGACUGACUUCACUUAGCAUGAUAAUUUCUAGGUCCAUCCAUAUUGCUAAAAAUGCUGUUAUUUCAUUCCUUUUAAUGGCUGAGUAAUAUUCCAUUGUGUAUAUGUGUACCACAUCGUCUUUAUCCACUCCUCCGUUGGUGGACAUUUAGGUUGUUUCCAUGUCUUGGCUAUCAAAGAGUGCCGCAAUGAACAUUGGAGUACAUGUGUCUUUGAGUCAUGGUUUUCUAUGGAUAGAUGCCCAGGAGUGGGAUUGCUGGAUCAAAUGGAAGUUCUAUUUUUAGUUUUCUGAGGAAUCUCCAUACUGUUUUCCACAGUGGUUAUACCAAUUUACAUGCCCACCAACAGUGAAGGAGGGUGUCCUUUUCUCCACAUCCUCUCCAGCAUUUGUUGUUUGUUGACUUGUUAAUGAUGGCUACUCCAACUAGUGUGAGGUGGUACCUCAUUGUUAUUUUGAUUUGCAUUUCUCUAAUAAUUGGCGAUGCUGAGCAUUUUUUCAUGUGCCUGCUGGUAGUCUAUAUUGGGCACACUUCCGAACAAAAAUAUUCUUGCCCUUCUCAGUGUCACUCACCCAUUUAAAAAUCAUUCUUUUGCCACCUGUGACAGAGAGGUUGCUGUUCUCAAGCCAGAUAUCCCACUUUCUCCACUUUUGGUAUUUUAAGGACUCAUUCUGUUCUUUUGUUUACCACAAGAAAAUAAAAAUAUCUUUUCAGGUCCUUUUUAAUUGUUUGCUUGCUUAUCACACUGCAACUUUUCUAAAUUGUCAAAGACUUUGAUUUUUCUUGGGAGAUAAUUUUCAGAUCUUUCCAGGUAUUUUCUUGGGGGAAACAAUGAAGCCAGUUGUUAAAUGCUCUUGUAAGAUCUCUUCCCUGACAUAGACCAAUGCUCUCAUUCUUCCAUUUCUCUAAAAGCAUUAAUAGCAUGCUUUACAGAUUUUUUUUUUGUCUUUUUGUCCUUUUUUUUAGGGCUGCACCUGCAGCAUAUGGAGGUUCCCAGGCCAGGGGUCUAAUAGAAACUGUAGCCACCAGCCUGCGCCAGAGCCACAGCAACUUGGGAUCCAAGCCUUGUCUGACCUACACCACAGCUCAUGGCAACACCAGUGGGUUAAGGAUCUGGCAUCGCUGUGAGCUGAGGUGUAGGUCACAGAUGCAGCUUGGAUCUGGCUUUGCUCUGGCUGUGGUGUAGGCUGGCAACUGCAGCUCCUCUUCUAUCUCUAGCCUGGGAACUUCAUAUGCCCUCAGUGUGCCCCCCCAAAAAGAAAAAAAAUAUGGCUGCUUUAUCUCAUCUACCUUAUAUUUUGCUGUUUUUCCUUUGCUUUGAGGGUCAGGCUUUAGCUAUAGAUGAAUUAUUUACAUUUCACCUUGCCUAUCCUCACAUUUUGCUGCCUUGGGUUACACCAUUGUUUCAACUGGGUGCCUUCCACCCCAAAACAACAACAAAAACCUUUCUUGUAAUAUUCUGGAACCCUUUCAGGGCAUUCCAAACCUCUCAUUUUGUCUGCCUCUUUGAGCCGGUUUCCAUAAAGCUAGGUUCGUCUUUGUCCUUAUUUACUUACUGUACCAUAUUUCCCUCUGUAUGAGGUUUCUGCUCACACUGAAGUUAAAUUUGCUAGGAUCGUGAUCUCUGCAGUGCCAAAAGAGCUCUCUAGAUCAUGUAAUUUCUGUCUUAUUCCUCUACUAGCUGUAACAAAAAGAGAAGGAAAGAAAAAAAAUUAGAUGAUUUGAAGCAUAUGUUCUAGAGGUCCGUGUUGUAGAUUGUGUUUUGACAGUUGUUUUGCCUUUCCUAGCUAACACUAUACCCAAGAGAGAUCACUGUUAAAGUUUUGAUUUGGG
rnacentral:lncRNA from 1 species